rnacentral:rRNA from 1 species
GGGCCCGCACAAGCGGUGGAGCAUGUGGUUCAAUUCGACGCAACGCGAAGAACCUUACCUGGGCUCGAAAUGUAGUGGACCGGGGUGGAAACAUCCUUUUCUCGCAAGAGACUGCUAUAUAGGUGCUGCAUGGCUGUCGUCAGCUCGUGUCGUGAGAUGUUGGGUUAAGUCCCGCAACGAGCGCAACCCUUAUUGCCAGUUGCUAACAGGUCAAGCUGAGCACUCUGGCGAAACUGCCCCGGAUAACGGGGAGGAAGGUGGGGAUGACGUCAAGUCCUCAUGGCCUUUAUGUCCAGGGCUACACACGUGCUACAAUGGGUGGUACAAACCGUCGCAAACCCGCGAGGGGGAGCUAAUCGGAAAAAGCCAUCCUCAGUUCGGAUUGGAGUCUGCAACUCGACUCCAUGAAGCUGGAAUCGCUAGUAAUCGCGGAUCAGCACGCCGCGGUGAAUACGUUCCCGGGCCUU